AGUAGGGAAUCUUCCGCAAUGGACGAAAGUCUGACGGAGCAACGCCGCGUGAGUGAAGAAGGCCUUCGGGUCGUAAAACUCUGUUGCCGGGGAAGAACAAGUGCCGUUCGAACAGGGCGGCGCCUUGACGGUACCCGGCCAGAAAGCCACGGCUAACUA
rnacentral:rRNA from 1 species